GACAGAGGUGCCAAGCGUUGGGCGGAAUCACUGGGCUUAAAGCGUGUGUAGGCGGAUCGUUAAGUACCUUGUGAAAUCCCACGGCUCAACCGUGGAACUGCUGGGUAUACUGGCGAUCUUGAGCCACCUAGGGGCAACUGGAACAAGCGGUGGAGCGGUGAAAUGCGUAGAUAUCGCUUGGAACGCCAAUGGUGAAAACAGGUUGCUGGGGGUGUGCUGACGCUGAGACACGAAAGCCAGGGGAGCGAACGGG
rnacentral:rRNA from 1 species